CAAUAGCGUAUAUUAAAGUUGUUGCAGUUAAAAAGCUCGUAGUUGAAUUUCUGGUGGGCGCGCCGGUCUUCCAAGUGUUGUACUGGGCGCAGUCCGCCAUCCUUGUGGAGAGGGCUCGCAUUGAGUUGCGUGUCGGAUCUGCAUCAUUUACUGUGAAAAAAUUAGAGUGUUUAAAGCAGGCUGUCGCUUGAAUACAUUAGCAUGGAAUAAUAAGAUAGGACUUCGGUCUAUUUUGUUGGUUGCGAACCGAGGUAAUGAUUAAUAGGGAUAGUUGGGGGUAUUCAUAUUUAAUUGUCAGAGGUGAAAUUCUUGGAUUUAUGAAAGAUGAACAACUGCGAAAGCAUUUACCAAGGAUGUUUNCAUUA
rnacentral:rRNA from 1 species